rnacentral:rRNA from 1 species
GCGGCCGCGGGAUUCGAUAGAGUUUGAUCAUGGCUCAGAUUGAACGCUGGCGGCAUGCCUUACACAUGCAAGUCGAGCGGCAGCGCGGGGGCAACCCUGGCGGGAGCGGCGAACGGGUGAGUAAUGCAUCGGAACGUGUCCUCUUGUGGGGGAUAACCAGUCGAAAGACUGGCUAAUACCGCAUGAGCUCGUAAGAGGAAAGCAGGGGACCCGCAAGGGCCUUGCGCGAGAGGAGCGGCCGAUGCCUGAUUAGCUAGUUGGUGGGGUAAAAGCCUACCAAGGCGACGAUCAGUAGCUGGUCUGAGAGGAUGAUCAGCCUCACUGGGACUGAGACACGGCCCAGACUCCUACGGGAGGCAGCAGUGGGGAAUAUUGGACAAUGGGCGCAAGCCUGACGCAGCGACGCCGCGUGCGGGAUGAAGGCCUUCGGGUUGUAAACCGCUUUCAGCAGGGACGAAAUUGACGGUACCUGCAGAAGAAGCCCCGGCCAACUACGUGCCAGCAGCCGCGGUAAUCACUAGUGAAUUCGCGGCCGCCUGCAGGUCGACCAUAUGGGUGAGCUCC